UUAUCCAGGCAAAUCCGGAUAAUCAAGGCUGAGGUGUGAUGACGAGGCACUACGGUGCUGAAGUAACAAAUGCCCUGCUUCCAGGAAAAGCCUCUAAGCAUCAGGUAACAUCAAAUCGUACCCCAAACCGACACAGGUGGUCAGGUAGAGAAUACCAAGGCGCUUGAGAGAACUCGGGUGAAGGAACUAGGCAAAAUGGUGCCGUAACUUCGGGAGAAGGCACGCUGGUGUGUAGGUGAAGCCCCUGCGGGUGGAGCUGAGACCAGUCGAAGAUACCAGCUGGCUGCAACUGUUUAUUAAAAACACAGCACUGUGCAAACACGAAAGUGGACGUAUACGGUGUGACGCCUGCCCGGUGCCGGAAGGUUAAUUGAUGGGGUUAUCCGUAAGGAGAAGCUCUUGAUCGAAGCCCCGGUAAACGGCGGCCGUAACUAUAACGGUCCUAAGGUAGCGAAAUUCCUUGUCGGGUAAGUUCCGACCUGCACGAAUGGCGUAAUGAUGGCCAGGCUGUCUCCACCCGAGACUCAGUGAAAUUGAACUCGCUGUGAAGAUGCAGUGUACCCGCGGCAAGACGGAAAGACCCCGUGAACCUUUACUAUAGCUUGACACUGAACAUUGAGCCUUGAUGUGUAGGAUAGGUGGGAGGCUUUGAAGCGUGGACGCCAGUCUGCGUGGAGCCAACCUUGAAAUACCACCCUUUAAUGUUUGAUGUUCUAACGUUGGCCCCUGACCGGGGUUGCGGACAGUGUCUGGUGGGUAGUUUGACUGGGGCGGUCUCCUCCCAAAGCGUAACGGAGGAGCACGAAGGUUAGCUAAUCCUGGUCGGACAUCAGGAGGUUAGUGCAAUGGCAUAAGCUAGCUUGACUGCGAGCGUGACGGCGCGAGCAGGUGCGAAAGCAGGUCAUAGUGAUCCGGUGGUUCUGAAUGGAAGGGCCAUCGCUCAACGGAUAAAAGGUACUCCGGGGAUAACAGGCUGAUACCGCCCAAGAGUUCAUAUCGACGGCGGUGUUUGGCACCUCGAUGUCGGCUCAUCACAUCCUGGGGCUGAAGUAGGUCCCAAGGGUAUGGCUGUUCGCCAUUUAAAGUGGUACGCGAGCUGGGUUUAGAACGUCGUGAGACAGUUCGGUCCCUAUCUGCCGUGGGCGCUGGAGAAUUGAGGGGGGCUGCUCCUAGUACGAGAGGACCGGAGUGGACGCAUCACUGGUGUUCGGGUUGUCAUGCCAAUGGCACUGCCCGGUAGCUAAAUGCGGAAGAGAUAAGUGCUGAAAGCAUCUAAGCACGAAACUUGCCCCGAGAUGAGUUCUCCCUGAGACUUUAAGUCUCCUGAAGGAACGUUGAAGACGACGACGUUGAUAGGCCGGGUGUGUAAGCGCAGCGAUGCGUUGAGCUAACCGGUACUAAUGAACCGUGAGGCUUAACCUUACAACGCCGAAG
rnacentral:rRNA from 1 species